GACAAAGUCCCAGCAGUAGCGGUCAAACUAUAGAAGAGCCGAGUGUUAUCCAUCCAUACCAGGCGUAAAAAGCGUUCGUUCU
rnacentral:rRNA from 1 species